GGAAAAUAUAGAGGACAUCCGUCUGCUAGAAGACACUUAAUACAUACACAUGAACACCUACACAUGCUAGAACACGCACAGACGCCACAUUGGCUGAGAACACGUAUACCCACUAUGCCUCCUGUCUCCUUCAAUUCACUCAUGUGACUCCCUUUCCAAGGGCUGACUGCUGGGAUCAGUUGCCAUGGCAACCACUGAUCAUAUGAGGGUUACUCACCCUGUGAGCAUUUCCUUUCUCUUUUUUUUCUCUCGCCUCCUCCUCUUUUUGCACCUACUGGCGUUCUGCACUACGUGGCUGUGAUUCAGCCACUGAAGUAAAAUAAUUGCCCCCCCAAAACACAAUUUAGCAAGGUUGGUUUUCGCCUCAUGCAAACGCAGUGUAUAAUACUUUUCAUUCAUGCAACAGGAGACACAAUAUUCCGUUGGAGGGGCUCCAGUGCAUCAUCAGACACAGCCUUCCAUCUCUUGACCUUGAGCUGGCAGAGACCCUUAUCUCAGACCUCAGGAGAGACGGGUUGCCAGGUCACAAAAUAAACAUGCUGACGAAAGCCGGCGGGUAUAAAAGGAUCCGCGUCUCGAGG
ensembl:lncRNA